CAUGUUGGUGCAGUUCUGUACAAUGUGCAGUUUGAGCCAGAAGUCUGACUUUGCAUAGUAAGACCACAAAGUUGCGAAAACACACCAGGGCUAGUUUCACUUUCUUCCUGCCUGAACCAUCUGAUUUCCAGGAAACACAAGAAGCUUUGGUAGAUAGAAGAGCACACAGAGCUGAAGGCAGAGGAGCACUAAGAAAAUGUCAACUUUAGGCUUGUUAUUGAAACUAGAUCUUUAGCAUUUUUGUAAAUAAUGUCUGACCAUUUGUUACACGUGGAUUAUUUAGGAUAUUUAGAUUCAAGCCGUUAUCAGUGUGUGUGCAGUGAUGACAGGAAGUAACACAGAACAGACAACUCCAGUUUUCAGUUCGGCGAUGGAGUUCACUGCUGAAGAAUUGGUGUGGCUGCUGAACAUAUCGUCAGAGGUACCUGCUGGUAAACUCACCCCAGAGGAAGAGUUCUGGUGCGAGCUGGCAAAGCCGAAGACAGCAACAGAGGCCCAGCUGUUCCAGCAACUGGCCUCCAUACGCUUUGGCUUGACUGAUCCUGCCACCUCCGGCACUGACAUGCUAACAACCAUAGUACAAAUGUGUUCAGAAAAUCAAAAAAUUCUUGCUAUCAAGAUGUCUCCAAAAUGAGGAUGAACCAUACUCUUACAAUGAACUUUGGUGCUUCAAAUGCCAAGAAAAAGCACAUUUCUCUGUGUACAGAUAAAUGAAAAGUGAUCUUACUCUAGAUCACUAAAUAUGGGAAACACAUCAUACCAUUUCGGUCAACUAAAACCAAAUAUGUCUUGAAACUGUGAGGAGCUACUUAAGCAACAGGCAGCAAUUUGUAAAAAUUGGAGAUCACACAUCUGAUUAUUUGCCCAUAACAUGUGGAGUACCGCAAGGGUCUGUCUUAGGUCCUAAACUGUUUAUAUUGUACAUUAAUGACUUAUGUAAUGUAUCAUGUAUAAUGAAAUGCAUUUUAUUUGCCGAUGAUACAAACAUCUUUUGCGCCAGGGACAAUGCACAGCAGCUUAUGGAGACAAUCACAACCGAAAUUAAUAAAUUAAAAAGGUGGUUUAAUGUAAACAAAUUGUCAUUGAAUUUGAGUAAAACAAAGAUUAUGUUAUUUGGAAAAUAUAAGUCAAACCCUCAAGUUGAAUUGAAAAUUGACAACAUAACCAUAGAAAGAGUUUAUGAAAUAAAAUUUCUGGGUGUGAUUGUUGAUCAUAAAAUCUGCUGGAAACCACAUAUUAAUCAUGUUAAAGCAAAAAUAGCAAAGAUUACUGCAAUUUUGGGGAAAUCAAGACACAUUCUGGACUAUAAACCACUACAUACUCUGUAUAAUGCACUCAUACUUCCAUAUCUGAGCUACUGUGUGGAGAUAUGGGGUAAUACCUACAAAUCUAACCUGCAGCCGUUAUGCACAUUACAAAAAAAGAGCAAUAAGAAUUGUCAAUAAUACGGGAUAUCUUGAGCAUACAAAUGCAUUAUUCGUAAAAGUACACGCUCUGAAAUUCACUGAUCUGGUUAAACACAGGACUGCACAAAUUAUGUAUAAAGCAAGACAUAACCUUCUUCCGGGUGAGGUACAAAAUACGUUUAUGGAAAGGCAGGGUGGGUAUAACCUGAGAGGGGAAAUGAAUUUUAAGAGAGUAAAUAUUAGAACAACUAUGAAAAGUAUGUGCAUAACAGUCUGUGGGGUGAAAUUGUGGAAUGGUCUGGAUAAUGAACUCAAAAACAGCACCAACAUAAAAUUGUUUAAAAAAUUAUAUAAAAACAUGUUACUAAAAAUAUAUGAGAAUGAGGACAGGCAGACUAUAUAGGUGAUGAUGAAAUUGAGAGUAAGUCUGUGACUGGUCUUCUUGUAUUUUGUGUAUAGUUAUAGGUAUGUGUAUAUGUAUGUACUCUAUAGAUGUAUUGUAUGUGUGUAUAUAUGCAUAACAUAAGUAUCUGUAUAUAUGAUUUGAUUUGGUCGAUAUUAUACCAUGUGGCGGCUAGUGGUGUAGUGGUUAGCGCUGUUGCCUCACAGCAAGAAGGUCCUGGGUUCGAGCCCCAGGGCCGGCGAGGGCCUUUCUGUGUGGAGUUUGCAUGUUCUCCCCGUGUCCGCGUGGGUGUGCUCCGGUUUCCCCCACAGUUCAAAGACAUGCAGGUUAGGUUAACCGGUGACUCUAAAUUGACCGUAGGUGUGAAUGGUUGUCUGUGUCUAUGUGUCAGCCCUGUGAUGACCUGGUGACUUGUCCAGGGUGUACCCCGCCUUUUGCCCGUAGUCAGCUGGGAUAGGCUCCAGCUUGCCUGCGACCCUGUAGAACAGGAUAAAGCGGCUAGAGAUAAUGAGAUGAGAUUAUACCAUGUUGGUAUGUUUUCUUUUUGUUUGUUGCUUUUGUUUUCUUUUGUAUAUAUACAACCCCGAUUCCAAAAAAGUUGGGACAAAGUACAAUUUGUAAAUAAAAACGGAAUGCAAUAA